rnacentral:rRNA from 2 species
GGCCAACCCCCCCCCUUUUUAGUUUUUUUAACCCAGCUCAGGACGAACCGCGGCCGGGCGUGCCUUAAUACAUGCAAAGUCGAACGAACUUCUGGUAUUGAUUGGUGCUUGCAUCAUGAUUUACAUUUGAGUGAGUGGCGAACUGGUGAGUAACACGUGGGAAACCUGCCCAGAAGCGGGGGAUAACACCUGGAAACAGAUGCUAAUACCGCAUAACAACUUGGACCGCAUGGUCCGAGUUUGAAAGAUGGCUUCGGCUAUCACUUUUGGAUGGUCCCGCGGCGUAUUAGCUAGAUGGUGGGGUAACGGCUCACCAUGGCAAUGAUACGUAGCCGACCUGAGAGGGUAAUCGGCCACAUUGGGACUGAGACACGGCCCAAACUCCUACGGGAGGCAGCAGUAGGGAAUCUUCCACAAUGGACGAAAGUCUGAUGGAGCAACGCCGCGUGAGUGAAGAAGGGUUUCGGCUCGUAAAACUCUGUUGUUAAAGAAGAACAUAUCUGAGAGUAACUGUUCAGGUAUUGACGGUAUUUAACCAGAAAGCCACGGCUAACUACGUGCCAGCAGCCGCGGUAAUACGUAGGUGGCAAGCGUUGUCCGGAUUUAUUGGGCGUAAAGCGAGCGCAGGCGGUUUUUUAAGUCUGAUGUGAAAGCCUUCGGCUCAACCGAAGAAGUGCAUCGGAAACUGGGAAACUUGAGUGCAGAAGAGGACAGUGGAACUCCAUGUGUAGCGGUGAAAUGCGUAGAUAUAUGGAAGAACACCAGUGGCGAAGGCGGCUGUCUGGUCUGUAACUGACGCUGAGGCUCGAAAGUAUGGGUAGCAAACAGGAUUAGAUACCCUGGUAGUCCAUACCGUAAACGAUGAAUGCUAAGUGUUGGAGGGUUUCCGCCUCUUCAGUGCUGCAGCUAACGCAUUAAGCAUCCGCCUGGGAGUUCCCC